rnacentral:rRNA from 1 species
GGUUGCGAUCAUACCAGCACUAAUGCACUGGAUCCCAUCAGAACUCCGCAGUUAAGCGUGCUUGGGCGAGAGUAGUACUGGGAUGGGUGACCCCCUGGGAAGUCCUCGUGUUGCAACUC